rnacentral:rRNA from 1 species
AGUGAACGCUGGCGGUAGGCCUAACACAUGCAAGUCGAACGGCAGCACAGUAAGAGCUUGCUCUUACGGGUGGCGAGUGGCGGACGGGUGAGGAAUACAUCGGAAUCUACUUUUUCGUGGGGGAUAACGUAGGGAAACUUACGCUAAUACCGCAUACGACCUACGGGUGAAAGCAGGGGAUCUUCGGACCUUGCGCGAUUGAAUGAGCCGAUGUCGGAUUAGCUAGUUGGCGGGGUAAAGGCCCACCAAGGCGACGAUCCGUAGCUGGUCUGAGAGGAUGAGCAGCCACACUGGAACUGAGACACGGUCCAGACUCCUACGGGAGGCAGCAGUGGGGAAUAUUGGACAAUGGGCGCAAGCCUGAUCCAACCAUACCGCGUGGGUGAAGAAGGCCUUCGGGUUGUAAAGCCCUUUUGUUGGGAAAGAAAAGCAGCAGGUUAAUACCCCGCUGUUCUGACGGUACCCAAAGAAUAAGCACCGGCUAACUUCGUG